ACACGUCCAGUCACUGUAAGGUGUUCUUUGUUGCAAAUCAAGCGUCAAGCGCAAUUAAUGCUCAAGUACAAAUCUGGAAAUGUUUCCAAGAAGGAUUUCCAUCCUGGAGUUUUUAAAUUGCGUUCGCCCUGUUGUGAGCCAAAGCAAGGUUGAAAUACAGCGCGGAGGACUGAACAGGCAUUACCACAUGGUGCUGAUUGUGGUUAGCACUGCAAUAGCUUUCAUUACACGGAUCAUUUGAGAAGACAGAAAAUAUUUCUCUUUCUGACUUCCGCCUUACUACAUGAACUGACCUAUGGUUGUUUGCAGUUGUAUGUAGCUCAUACUGCAUGCUUAGGACUGCUUAACCCGAAUCACUGCAAAAGAGGAAUUUCAAUUUUUCCAGUGUCAUUAGUUCCAGCUGUAAUUUCAUGACCCCUCUUCUCAUUCCCUGCUUCCCAGCACACACAAAGCAGAAUGCAGUUCUUUGAAGCUAGUGCUCUUCUGUCCAAAGAGACCAUCUUGGAAUGACUGCUAAUGCAUGCUCUGCUUCAUAUUCCAUCUCCCGAAAUACUGCACGUUGACUUUGCAGUUACUGUACUGGAUGCUAAUAUCAUCUGCCUUGUUGUUUAUGACUUAAGUGAUGCUAUUUUUAAUGGUGUUCUGGCAUGUCAAAUUGUAAGCGCAUUUUUGGCAAAGAGUGCAUGCAGCUCCUGGCUCUUCACACUGCUCAGUCACUUCGAUCGAUGCAGACACUGCCAUUACAGUGACACCUACAGAACACAUUAAUGCAGCCUUAAUUACUGAUACAGCUGCUCUGCCAAGAAACAAGCUACACUGCAUCAUCCAGAUGAUUCUUUGAGGGCAUUUAUGCUUAUUUUUUUAUCCACAGCAUAAAACCUCUUGACCGUUUGUAAAGUUGGCUUUCUUAAUCACCAUGGACCAACUCCAUACAUUCCCCUCAAAAUGUAUUCCCCAGAGGCUUAAAAGACUUCAACUCCAGCAUUGCAUUGCAGAAAGCUGGAUUUCUGGUCUGGCACUUGGGUUGACUUCUUCCUUUUUUCCACCCUCCAGCUUCUUUGGAAUAUCAGGAUUCUCAUCUUCCUGCAACUCAAAGCAGUUAAAUGCAAUUUCAGGCAGUUUUUCUGCUUGAGGGCAUAAUUUCAGUUUGCUCGUUAUGACAGCCUUGCAGUACAAGUUGUUAUCUGGCACGGGUAGGUGUAUAGCUUUGUAUUUUCAUUGGAAUCUCAUUUAUUCUCUGUUCUGGGAGUGCUGAAAGCUUAACAUGUCAUUAGUAUUCUUUCUGGUCUUUUGAAAACUAUCAGCUGCAUCAUUAUAACACAAGGAAAAUGGGUCUCUCUCAAGUUCCCCUCCUAUUAGGGCAUGCAAACUAUGCAAAACCUUCAUUUUUGGCCUGGGCUGAAGCAGUUGAACACAGAAUCGAACAUUAGUGACAACUAAUUACACCGUCCGAAGCCUCAGAGCAGCAGAAGAAAACAUUGCUUAUCAAGGAGGAUGAGCCGAGACAGUGACCUGGUUUUCCCAAGUUGUGCACAGACGGUGCUGGGAGCUGUGGCUGACAAGGAAUGCUAAUGGUGUCAGGCACAGGGAGCAGCCCCGUCCUGCAGGCAGCACAGCUGCAUGUGCUCCCACCAGCCCUGUGCCCAGGGGCUCCUUGGAGUGCUCUGCAAGUGUUCCCUUUCCUUAUAUGUUGCUCAUUAGCUCAUUCAGAGUGCCAAGCAAAUGUAUGUAGAUUGCUCCAUAAGUAAUGCCUCCUAUUUAUUUCCAUGGAAAAUACAACAGCUACAAAGAACACAAUAACACCGUUUGAUGGAGGAAAUUCUCCGCUACAAAAUAUUAUUUUUCAAAAUAGUCACCAUCAUUAUCUACAUGCUUUUGUCAGAAAUGUACAAGAGCCAGCAGGCUGGCACCGGAAGUGACCAUGGCCUCCUGCUGACACAUUUACUUGUGUGGGCACCAAGCAGCCUCCCUGCUGGAGGAGGUAUACAGGAAGAGCAGAGCAUAAGUUGCAUCCAUUCCUCUUCCACUGAAAGAAGAAGGCUCUGUUUGCUGGAUCCUUUCCACCUGAGAAAAAAGAUGGAGAUGUCGCUAUGCGCAAUACAUGGGGCUACAUAGGGUUUGAAUUUUGAGUGGUCCUUUGUGGUCCAGCUGGGAGCUGGACUCAAUGAGCCUUGAGGGCCCAUUCCAACUCGGGAUAUUCUGUAACUUUCUGACAGGUGGGGUGAUGAACACAUCUUGCUGAAGUGCGUGGCUGUGCAGUGCAGCCUGCUGCCCCAGGCCUCCUGGCCCAGCCAUACUUAACCUGCUAGGCCCCUUUUCUGGAGACAACGGACCUCAAGGAAAUGCUGGUCAGGCCAACAGGCUGGCACGAGGCAGGCUGGUAUCUGGACAGUGGAAACAUUCUUCUGAUCAGAAUUUAGAAACCAGACAGCUUAAAAAGACAAUAACAAGACAGUGCUUUGGAAUAAAGGGCCCCAAACACAACAGUGUCUUAGCUGUGGUGCUGCAAGAAGGAUCACGUGUGCCAAAUCUUCUGUUGUGUUCGCUGUUUUUAUUCAAGGUGAACAGAUUUAUGAACACAUGAUAUGUGUGGCAAAGAAGGAUGAUUUGGAUGUCUAUUCCAUUAAUUCUUCUCAAAGAAAAAUGGCAAGGUGCCCUUACAAGCCCGUUUCUACUUAGUGCUUGGCAAAAGGGACAAUCCAUGUUUUUAAGAUUUCACAGUGACACAAUAUGGCAUUUGGAGUGUUUUUAAGUGCUUAUUUUGAAUCAUCAGUAGAUUUUCUGAGCUAUCUGUAGGGAUCACAUCUUUCUACCAUCUUCAAUGGAACUGAACAACCAAGAAGAAAAAUCCCCUACAAAAUAGGGAGCAAAAAACAUUGAGAUCAGAAAAAGAGACAGUGGGAGUAGCAGCGAUACUGAGACAAGCAAAAAGUCCCUGAGGAAUUGGGAAAAUGGAAGGAAGAAGAAACUUCAAGGCAUUGCAGCAGAGUGUGAGACCAGCAGUAUGGCUGGGGACUGCAGCCAGGUGCAGCUGGGAAGAGCUGUGAGAGCAAAGGGCUUGGGGGUGAGCCAGGCAGGAGCACAGCGCCUGGCAUGUCACUGUAUGUGGCAAAUUAGAAAUCUCAGUAGGCUUUCCAUUGUUAGCUGUACCAGAAGACUUCCCACCAUGUUGGAGAUGUUAAGUUAUGUGUGUUCUGCUUUUGCCACCAUGGAAUUUAAAUAGACAUCCAAAUAGCAAAGUCUGGCAUUCAUACAUUAUCCCUAAUACAUUGUAGAAGUGGUAUAAUUUGGGCAAGCCAUUUUUCCUAAGUCUAGGCCCUUAUGUUUUAGGCCAAUGGAUGAUGGCAGAGGUUCUGCUGCUGUUUUCGGAUUUUAUUUUGUAAGGCAUGGCAUUUGCAUUCCUCAGCUGCAUGAACAAGACAAGGCAAGGGUUGACGUGGAAAUUCAGAACAGAGAGUAGUUGGAUUAGCUCUGUGGUAAGCAGCAUUGCAUUUCAAGGGCUAACAAUUCCUAUGAUCAAAUAUUUGUAUUUUCAGGGACUAUAUCCUCUCCUCAUUAAUUUGUAGUUGCCACGAUGAAAUCAUGAUAAAUCAUCAUAAAUCAUCUCAGCAAGGGAGGACAGGGGGGAGGGUUAAGUUAGAAUUGUUUGGGUUAAAUAUUAGAAGAUCAUCUUGAUUUUACACAUUUCCAGGAAAUGCACUGAAGAAUUCUUGUCACAGACAUGAAGGUCUAGUUUUAUGGAUUCCCUUUUGUUGUCAUUGUGACACCAUUUGGUGGUUGUUGUUGUUCGAAGGGAUGAUGAUGGAGACAAGGCUAAUUUUCAGUAAAUUUCAUGAGUAUUCAAAUAAUUCCAUGGCGGCUCAUGCAACAGCUGGCUCAGCAUAGAUGAGAGCAAGUCUUUUUAGAGGUCUUAUUAACAGUUUUAAGGAGUAUUAUGUUAACAACGCCAUAAAAACAUUUAAAUUCAGACAUUCUACUUAAGAAUAUACAUUCAUUAAGUGAAUGUAAAUUAAAGUUAUCAUGAAAAGGCAGUGUAAUUAAGAUUUCUGAUUUGUGUAAUGAUGAGAAGUGUGCAUUAAAUUCUUAGUUUAAGAAUUCUUUGUGAAAGUGAUGACUUGAACAUUGACAAGGAUGUAACUGUAGAUGAAACUCUUUCAUAGAACAAGUUUUUGGUUGUUUUUUUUUCCAGACUUGAAUUUGGAAAGUAUCAUUUUGUCACAGUUUGCAAUAUAUUAGAUUUGUUACAUGCAUGAGUAUGACCAUUAGCUUUGUGUAAUAAACAGUUUGUUGUAAGAAAUAAUGUAGCAUAUAAUCAAAGCAAAUAGUAGAUCUAAUCGCAUUCAGUUUAUCUUUGGCCAUGUCCAAUCUGGUGUGGAAUUUAAAAGGAAACUUUGUUCAAGAAUUAAAUGGAAGUCAUUGAAACCAAUUACACUUAAGAUUGUGUUUACAUGUAAAAUCUGAGAAACACAAUCCCUAGUUUAUUAUUAUAAUCAAUCUUCUGAACCCUGCUUCUCCUAUAGAAAAGGGUAAGCAUUCCUUUGGCUCCUGAGGGCAAACCUGGAAAAAAAAGAAAAAAAAGAAAAAAAAAAAAGCCUGUAGCCCUGUUCUGUAACCAGAAAGAGAUCAGGACCAAAUCCAAAAUGAUGGAAAGACACUGCUUCACACAAUUCUUCCCCACUAGGACAACCAGUUGUGGAACCACAGAAGCCUCCCUGGUAUGGUGUUGUUGCUCUACCUUGCCUCAGGCACUGUGGAAGGGGGGAAGCAAAUUCUGAAAUGCACAGGAAAAUUAUAUAAAAUGGAGAAGGGUAUAGAAAGAAGUUGAGAAGAAGGAGAGGAUGGUGGUGUUUUUUGCUAACAAAAUGAAUUUUCAAGGCUGUCUGCUGAGUGGCAUCAAAGAGGAGUAUGGAAUUUCGAAAAUGUUCGUGACCCAGAGAACAUGUUCCUGCCACAUCAAUGCAUUUGUGGCACUGUCAGUGCUUGCAGAAAUUUCAGUGAGGCUGCAUCCUACUUAUUUCAAAAUAAUCCAUUGAAAACAAUCUGGUGCCUUCGAAUCUUUUACUCACAGGAGAAUGUAUUCUGCAAAGCAUUCACUGUUACUUCUUUUCUUACUAUUUCAAGCAUGAACAGAAUUAUCUGCCCCCUUUGCACAGUUUUUAACAAAAAAACAAAUCCUGUUCUCAGAGUUGCAGACCAGUUUUACUGGUGAUUCUCAUAAUGGUCAGACAGAUGGUCAGAUCCAUGGCACAGUGCUCACUGCUGUCAGCCACUGUUUGCCAUCCCCAGUUCUGGAGGUCUCCACGAAGAGGGGAGCAGCAGAGCCACAGCCCCUUUGCCUGGCUCAGCGCAGCAGCUCUCAGCAGCUUGUGCCUCCUGCCCACUGUUGGCUUUGUCAAGCCUAACCCUGCUGCCUGUCUGGAUCUGCUCUUAGGAUCAUACCUUGGGGUUAGGAGUUGUUAGAAACAGGUGAGAACUCCUGGCUCGGCAGUGCAUCUUCUGGUUUGAGAAUGCUCACUGGGCCACACAUUCUGGCUGCUAGGUAUGAAAAAGAGCAUCGGACACCAAACAAAAGAUACCCAGACUUCACUUUUAUUUCCAUCUCACAUCUGACCCAGGAAAUUUCCUCACAUUCUUGGGCAAAGUGUGGCUGAAGUCCUGAAUAAGAUCAAUUGGCUCAGGGGACUUUAAUGGCAACAAAAUUAAAAAGGGAUUUCUUUUCCUGAUUUUGAGGACCACAGAAAGGAUGAGCCUAGAAACAGAAAUUACAAGCUACAAAUCUUAGAGAUCAGGGCCAGCCUCAAGAGAACAUCAGGUACAUUAACACAGCUUGCUAGAGAUGAAAAUCCAGCUUGACUGCAUCCAAAUAGGGACUCAAAAUCUUAUUGACAGACCAUAUCUUUAGAAGCCCCAAGUGCCAGCAGCAGUGCUCUGACAACUCAGUGCACAAGUUGGAGCUGUGCAGCUCCUCUCCUUUCAAUGUAUGUGCAGAUCCUGCAGGUCUUUCUGUAUGCUCCUCAUUGUGUUUUAGGAAUAAUUAUCUCACAUUGGUCUCUGCUGCCAUACAUGGCAUAUAAGGAUUUUCUUUUCUUUAUGGAAAAAAAUUCCUUUUGAGGAAGUCUGUCUUAACUUCUAAUGCAUGCAAAAUUUCAGAUGCAGAUGGCUGUGAAUAGUGCCAGUCUGCUUAUCUUACUUCUGCUAAUAUUAGUAAAUCUAUUCACGCAAGUAAACAAGAUUCAUCUUAAGUGGGUCAAAUAUUUUUUUGUCGAAAAGAAAACAAAGAUAUUCAGAGGCCUCUAAGAUUGACAUGAGGUCUCAAGAGAUCACUCUCCCCCUCACUGCUCACAGGUCACACAGGAUGGCAGAGAGGGACACUGAUGAGUGCAGUGUUCCUUCAAGGCCCAGUUGGAAAACUUCCUCUCUGAAAACUGAGGGAACUUGUGCUUGACAAAAUGCCCUAGCAGCCAGGGAAGCUCAGUCAAACCGCUGCAUCUGCUGUCUGGAAAACACAAGAACACGUGUGUCUUUGGCAAGCUGAAAGCCAUUCCUCCCCUACGCAGCUCAGACCAAAAUGAAAUUUUGACUGCUUCUUUCCUCCUACUGCAAUGGCUCAGUGCUCCUGCUGGACAGCUACAGAUUGCUAACUGUUCCUGGCACCGGAUGCCUCCGCAUGGACGUGAAGCCAAGAAGCCAAGAGAGAAACCAUAUUGCCAAGUCCAAGUAUUCUGAAAUUGCAGCAACCUUUUCCCUACACAAAAAGUGGGUUAUUAUGUGUAUUUAUCUUCUGUUGCUCCGUGUUUUCAGUAAACACAUUUCAAACUC